rnacentral:rRNA from 1 species
UACGUAGGGUGCAAGCGUUAAUCGGAAUUACUGGGCGUAAAGCGUGCGCAGGCGGUGAUGUAAGACAGGUGUGAAAUCCCCGGGCUUAACCUGGGAACUGCAUUUGUGACUGCAUCGCUGGAGUGCGGCAGAGGGGGAUGGAAUUCCGCGUGUAGCAGUGAAAUGCGUAGAUAUGCGGAGGAACACCGAUGGCGAAGGCAACCCCCUGGGCCUGCACUGACGCUCAUGCACGAAAGCGUGGGGAGCAAACAGG